UCCCUCUUUGCCCCUCCCCUGCUCGCUCUCUCUCUCCAAAUAAAUAAACAAACUUAAAAAAAAAAAAAAAAAAGAAAGAAACUAUGCCCUCAGAGUUGCAGGAGACUGGAACUGCAUCUGGGGAGGAGGAAGAGAAGCUGGUGCUCUGAGGCCCAAAAUACUGGGCUCCGUAUUGGCCCCAGGCACCAAAGGGAAGAAUCAAGAACCAGGAAUUGGUGAUGGGUGGGAUGGGAGCCCAUAGGUGUUUACUUAGCAGCUAAACUCUAAAGCACAAAAUAACUCGCCUCUCUGAGCCUCAGUUUCCCCACUUGCUAAAUGGGAUAUAAUUCAUGUCCAUCUCACCAUGUCACCUGAAGAUCAAUGAGCAAAUGAAUAUGCAUACGUUUAGGAAAUGAAAAGCAUAGCUUGUACCAUUAAGCUUGUUCUAAUGUUCCCAAAGUCAAGACAGCUCCCCAGGACCUCAGUGGAUUCCAGAAACACAGUUCCCCACCAGCAGCACCUCAGCCAGGAAUUUCCGUCUCUGAGGUGCUGACUCCCUGGGCAAAGCCCACUGAUAGAAAUAACCUGGCUUGGGGGGAACAAACUGUGAAUCCAUAUGUCCCUAAAUUCCAAAGUCACUCUUCCCUCCUCAUGUGAAGGAGAUAUGAUCAGUUCCGAUUCAUACACGGGAAAAUUGGGGCUUGGAGGUUAAGUAGUUUGCCCAAGGACACGGGUGAGUGGCAGAGCAGAACUCAAAUCGGAGUCUGUGUGAUUCUGAAACUCUCUCAACAGAGUGUGCUGUCCCACCUCUGUGCUUCUGAGAAUGUUCAAAGUCUAAAUGUUCCACAGAUCUGCCGGGUCAUCACUCUUCCCCUCAGCCAGCCAUGUGAUCAUAAACGUUCCUAUGAUAUGGGGUCGGCUCUCAAUUAGAGGAUGUAGUUGUUAGUUCCAGUUCCCAGCUGGCAAAACAACGGAGAACAUGCUGGGAAAUGUGGGGAGUUUCCUACAGAUGGUCUCAGAAGAAGCUUUCAUAGAAACAUUCAUACUUUCGGAUAGUGGAGGAAACCUGUACUCAAAGCAAUCUCAUGAGGUGCAUAAUUGGCCAAGUGCUCCAGGGGUUCUAAAGACUGCCUUCCUGUAGUCGGAAUAGACACAUUUAGCCUCUUACUGAAAUUGAAGGCUGCAACGCCGAUAACAAAUCUGAUUCUAACUCUCCCAUGUCACCGCAGCCCAAAGGUGCCUUUGUCUCCUAGGAGAAAGAGGUUGGAGGCAGGAGACACUGCUAAUUAUGGGAGCAAUUCCCAUGGAUACAGAGAAGAAUUGUCUAAGCUGGGGAGUCAAAGCUCUGAUCGAGAGGGUGCUGAGAGGAAAAAUGCCCCCAACAUUCUCAGAGGAAAUUCCAGAGUUGUCUAGGGACAUGCCUUCUCUGCAGGCAUGCCCCAUAUAUCUGGCAUUUGAAGAUCUGGAAACAGGUUUUCCUUUACCUUCCUAACUCAUGCACUAAGGAUCCCUGUAUUUGAGAAAUGGAAUUUAAAAAGUGGUCUCUUUUAUUCAAACAUUAUCUGAUAAGGUUAU